GAUGAACGCUGGCGGCGUGCCUAAUACAUGCAAGUCGAGCGAACGGACGAGAAGCUUGCUUCUCUGAUGUUAGCGGCGGACGGGUGAGUAACACGUGGAUAACCUACCUAUAAGACUGGGAUAACUUCGGGAAACCGGAGCUAAUACCGGAUAAUAUUUUGAAACGCAUGGUUCAAAAGUGAAAGACGGUCUUGCUGUCACUUAUAGAUGGAUCCGCGCUGCAUUAGCUAGUUGGCAAGGUAACGGCUUACCAAGGCAACGAUGCAUAGCCGACCUGAGAGGGUGAUCGGCCACACUGGAACUGAGACACGGUCCAGACUCCUACGGGAGGCAGCAGUAGGGAAUCUUCCGCAAUGGGCGAAAGCCUGACGGAGCAACGCCGCGUGAGUGAUGAAGGUCUUCGGAUCGUAAAACUCUGUUAUUAGGGAAGAACAUAUGUGUAAGUAACUGUGCACAUCUUGACGGUACCUAAUCAGAAAGCCACGGCUAACUACGUG
rnacentral:rRNA from 1 species